rnacentral:rRNA from 1 species
AGCAGCCGCGGUAAUUCCAGCUCCAAUAGCGUAUAUUAAAGUUGUUGCAGUUAAAAAGCUCGUAGUUGAAUUUCGGGAUCAAUUAAUCGGUCGUGCCUCUGGUACGCACUGGUUUUAUUGGUUUCUCCCUUCUGACGAACCAGGAUGUCAUUAAUUUGGUGUCUUGGAGAAUCAGGACUGUUACUUUGAAAAAUUAGAGUGUUUAAAGCAGGCUAACGCUUGAAUACAUUAGCAUGGAAUAAUGAAAUAGGACGUUUGAUCCUAUUUUGUUGGUUUCUAGGAUCGACGUAAUGAUUAAUAGGGAUAGUUGGGGGCAUUAGUAUUCAAUUGUCAGAGGUGAAAUUCUUGGAUUUAUUGAAGACUAACUACUGCGAAAGCAUUUGCCAAGGAUGUUUUCAUUAAUCAAGAACGAAAGUUAGGGGAUCGAAGACGAUCAGAUACCGUCGUAGUCUUAACCAUAAACUAUGCCGACUAGGGAU